GGAGGGUUCGCCUAGUGGCCGAUGGCGCUGGUCUUGAAAACCGGUAAGGCAGCGAUGUCUUCGUGGGUUCGAAUCCCACACCCUCCGCCG
rnacentral:tRNA from 4 species